GACGAACGCUGGCGGCGUGCUUAACACAUGCAAGUCGAACGGAAAGGCCCUUCUUUUGUGGUGUGCUCGUGUGGCGAGCGGGUGAGUAACGCGUGUGUAACCUGCCCUUGACUUUGGGAUAACUUCAGGAAACUGGGUCUAAUCCCGGAUAGGAGCUCCUGCUGCAGGGGGGGGGUGGGAAAGUUUCGGCGGGUGGGGAUGGACUCGCGGCUUCUCAGCUUGUUUGUGGGGUAGUGGCUUACCAAGGCUUUGACGGGUAGCCGGCCUGAGGGGGUGACCGGCCACGUUGGGACUGAGAUACGGCCCAGGCUCCUACGGGAGGCAGCAGUGGGGAAUAGUGCACAAUGGGUGGAGGCCAGAUGCAGCAACGCCGUGGGCGGGAGGACGGCCUUCGGGUUGUAAACCGCCUUCGCUCAUGACGAAGCUUUGUGGGACGGUAGUGGGUAAAGAAGCACCGGCUAACUACGUG
rnacentral:rRNA from 1 species